rnacentral:rRNA from 1 species
AACGAACGCUGGCGGCAUGCCUAACACAUGCAAGUCGAACGAGACCUUCGGGUCUAGUGGCGCACGGGUGCGUAACGCGAGGGAACCUGCCCUUAGGGUCGGAAUAACUCCCCGAAAGGGGUGCUAAUACCGGAUAAUGUCUUAGGACCAAAGAUUUAUCGCCUUGGGAUGGGCCCGCGUUGCAUUAGCUAGUGGGGAGGGUAAAAGGUUACCAAGGCGACGAUGGGUAGCUGGCCUCAGAGGGGGAUCAGCAACGCUGGGACGGAGACACGGUCCAGACGCCUGGGGGAGGCACCAGUCCGGAAUCUUCCGCGAGGGGCGAAGGCGGGACUGUGCAACGCCGGGUGAGUGAUGAAGCCCUUCGGACCGUAAAACUCUGUAAGUCGUGAGGAACAAAAGUGUAUUUAACCCGGCACGUCUUGACGGUACCUGGUCAGAAAGCCACGGCUAACUUCGUG